CGGAUUUGAACCGAUGACUUACGCCUUACCAUGGCGUUACUCUACCACUGAGUUAAAAGGGCUUGUUUGAUUCAAUUCCUGAAU
rnacentral:tRNA from 1 species